rnacentral:rRNA from 1 species
UAAGACAUGCGAGUUGUGCGUCUCUAAGCCAUGGUAGAGACGCGGCGUACGGCUCAGUAACAUGUGGCUAACCUACCCUUAGGACGGAGACAACCCCGGGAAACUGGGGCUAAUACCCGGUAGAUUAGGAGGCCUGGAAUGGUUUCUAGUCGAAAAGGCGUUGAAACCAUGCUUUUCGACGUCGCCUAAGGAUGGGGCCGCACCUGAUCAGGUUGUUGGUGGGGUAACGGCUCACCAAGCCUAUAACCGGUACGGGCCGUGAGAGCGGGAGCCCGGAGAUGGGCACUGAGACAAGGGCCCAGGCCCUACGGGGCGCAGCAGUCGCGAAAACUCCGCAAUGCGCGAAAGCGUGUCGGGGCUACCCCGAGUGCCGUCCGCUGAGGAUGGCUUUUCCCCGGUGUAAUGAGCCGAGGGAAUAAGGAGAGGGCAAGACUGGUGUCAGCCGCCGCGGUAAUACCAGCUCUCCGAGUGGUAGGGAUGAUUAUUGGGCUUAAAGCGUCCGUAGCCGGCUUAGCAAGUCUCCUGUUAAAUUCAGCGACCUAAUCGUUGAGCCGCGGGAGACACUACUAGGCUAGGAGGCGGGAGAGGCCGACG